rnacentral:rRNA from 1 species
CCAGCUCCAAUAGCGUAUAUUAAAGUUGUUGCAGUUAAAAAGCUCGUAGUUGAAUUUCGGAUGAGGUUACCUGGUCUGGCUUCUGGUCAGUACUGGGUCAACUGAGUCUUUUUCUUGGGGAGUAACGGGUGCUCUUCACUGAGUGCUCUUAGGAACCAAGACGAUUACUUUGAAAAAACUAGAGUGUUUAAAGCAAGCUAUUGCUUGAAUACAUUAGCAUGGAAUAAUAAAAUAGGACGAUGGUUCUAUUUUGUUGGUUUGAGGACCACUGUCAUGAUGAAUAGGGACAGUUGGGGGCAUUAGUAUUCCGGUGUCAGAGGUGAAAUUCUUGGAUUACCGGAAGACUAACUAAUGCGAAAGCAUUUGCCAAGGAUGUUUUCAUUAAUCAAGAACGAAAGUUAGGGGAUCGAAGACGAUUAGAUACCGUCGUAGUCUUAACCAUAAACGAUGCCGACUAGGGAUCGGUAAACGUCAUAUUGACUUUAUCGGCACCUUGAGAGAAAUCAAAGUGUUUGGGUUCUGGGGGGAGUAUGGUCGCAAGACUGAAACUUAAAGGAAUUGACGGAAGGGCACCACCAGGAGUGGAGCCUGCGGCUUAAUUCGACUCAAC